CUGAAGGAGCUUCCUGCAAUUUUCCUUAUAAGGGUCUGUUAGCUGUAGUUACCAGGUAUAAAAGAGUGGCUCUUUUUUGCAUGUGUCUAAAUAGAGACAAGUGGAAACUAGGGGAUUCUUCUGAUGUGUGAUGAAUAUGAACAUUUAUGUAUGCAUUCCAUGUGGGAACAAGACCUAGACACCGGUGGACAGCAGCAUGCAGCUUAAAAGCACGUGAUCCUUAAAUGAAGAUUUUGAAAAGAGUGGGGGAGGAAAGGCAGUGAAGAGGGAAGUCAAGACGGACUUAUUCCUGCUUGAUUUCAAGAUGAAAAGACUGUUCAUCCCUGAAAAUUCCACGGGGAAUCAGAGGGAGGGAGAGAAACAAGUCCUUGUUUGUACAGAACUGUUCACAAAUGUUAUAUCAUGGGGUCAGAUUCACAUACUGGGUAAACCUUGAAGAAAAAAUUCCCAAGGGAUUCCAUAGGAUGUGAAGCAGGCCAAAAACUUUGUUACUUGUCUUUUUGUCCCGUGAGACCUACACAUCAACAGUUUUAAAACAGAAAAGUAGGAUAGUUAGUACCUUUGAAGGGCCACUCCAGAUGUCUAGGUCCAACUAAAUUUGUCUACAAAUUUCUAUGGUUAUUUAUAGCUUCUUUUUUAUAGCUUUAGGAUCUUCAGUAAGGCUGAGACUUAAGGGAGCUGUUUCAGAUCCAGGAGAAAUCAUAGAAAUGUGUACGUGUUCCUACUAGUCUAAUCCUAUCCCCAAGGCCAAAUAGGGUGGUGCAGUAUGUGUGGCUUAUUUUUCAUAGCUCCAGGAAGGACAAGUGAAGAUUCAGGAUGAAACAGAACUAAGUCUGGCUAGGCUAGUGACAAACACUUAAAUUACCUAAGUCAUAGAUUAACCAGUAAAAAAUGAUUUCUGCUCCCAGCUCAUACCUACUGGGACCAGAUGAUAAUGAUGGUGAUGACGAUAAUAAUGAUGAUGAUGUCAAUAUUUUUUGAGUAUUUGCUAUGUACCAAAAGUCUUUUGCACUACUCAAAAGACCUGACAUACAUUGUUUUAUUAAAUUCUCACAAUAAUCCUAUAUGGUAGCCUUUGCUAUUCCUGUUGUAAAGAUGAAGAAACAGAGGUUCAGUAAAUUCAAUUAACUUGUUCAAGGUGGUACAGCUAGUAGAUAAGCCUGGAAUGUGAAUCCAAAAGGGUCUGACUUGACCAUUGUCCUACAGUGCCUCUCUAUUAGUAACUCAAAUCAGACAUCCUAGUUGAAGUGUAAAGUAAGGCUGGGGAUAGAACUCUCAAUAAAAUGGUGACUUUACUGAGGGUGACUCUCAAUAAAAUGAUGCAUUACAUAAGGGAAUAGCCAGCAUUUCUCCAUUUCAUGAAAGUUCCUUCUCACAGUGGAGCAAGGAUUCUCUUCUCUCUUCCAUCUUUUGCCUGUCAUCAAAACUGGCUGUCAAGUAAGAAUUUAAUAUACUCAUUCAAAGUAGGCAAACUGUAAUAAAAAUGGU
rnacentral:lncRNA from 1 species